rnacentral:rRNA from 1 species
UACAUGGGGUGCAAACGUUGCUCGGAAUUAUUGGGCGUAAAGCGCACGUAGGCGGUUCGUUAAGUCGGAUGUGAAAGCCCUCGGCUCAACUGAGGAAGUGCACCCGAAACUGGCGAGCUUGAGUACGAAAGAGGAUCGCGGAAUUCCCGGUGUAGAGGUGAAAUUCGUAGAUAUCGAGGAGGAACACCGGUGGCGAAGGCGGGGUCUCUGG